rnacentral:rRNA from 1 species
GCAUAUCAAUAAGCGGAGGAAAAGAAACCAACAGGGAUUGCCUAGUAACGGCGAAGUGAAGCGGCAACAGCUCAAAUUUGAAAUCUGGCGCUUCCGGCGUCCGAGUUGUAAUUUGUAGAGGAUGCUUCUGGGCAGCCACCGGUCUAAGUUCCUUGGAACAGGACGUCAUAGAGGGUGAGAAUCCCGUAUGCGACCGGAGAGGCGCCCUAUACGUAGCUCCUUCGACGAGUCGAGUUGUUUGGGAAUGCAGCUCUAAAUGGGAGGUAAAUUUCUUCUAAAGCUAAAUAUUGGCCAGAGACCGAUAGCGCACAAGUAGAGUGAUCGAAAGAUGAAAAGCACUUUGGAAAGAGAGUUAAAAAGCACGUGAAAUUGUUGAAAGGGAAGGGAUUGCAACCAGACUUGCUCGCGGUGUUCCGCCGGUCUUCUGACCGGUCUACUCGCCGCGUUGCAGGCCAGCAUCGUCUGGGGCCGCCGGAUAAGACUUUGGGAAUGUAGCUCCCUCGGGAGUGUUAUAGCCCUUUGUGAUGCGGCGCGUCCCGGGCGAGGUCCGCGCUUUCGGCUAGGAUGCUGGCGUAAUGGUCGUAAUCCGCCCGUCUUGAAACACGGACCAAGGAGUCUAACAUCUAUGCGAGUGUUCGGGUGUCAAACCCCUACGCGUAAUGAAAGUGAACGGAGGUGGGAACCGCAAGGUGCACCAUCGACCGAUCCUGAUGUCUUCGGAUGGAUUUGAGUAAGAGCAUAGCUGUUGGGACCCGAAAGAUGGUGAACUAUGCCUGAAUAGGGUGAAGCCAGAGGAAACUCUGGUGGAGGCUCGCAGCGGUUCUGACGUGCAAAUCGAAUCGUCAAAUUUGGGUAUAGGGGCGAAAGACUAAUCGAACCAUCUAGUAGCUGGUUCCUGCGAAG